AGCUUGCUCCCUGAUGUUAGCGGCGGACGGGUGAGUAACACGUGGGUAACCUGCCUGUAAGACUGGGAUAACUCCGGGAAACCGGGGCUAAUACCGGAUGGUUGUUUGAACCGCAUGGUUCAAACAUAAAAGGUGGCUUCGGCUACCACUUACAGAUGGACCCGCGGCGCAUUAGCUAGUUGGUGAGGUAACGGCUCACCAAGGCAACGAUGCGUAGCCGACCUGAGAGGGUGAUCGGCCACACUGGGACUGAGACACGGCCCAGACUCCUACGGGAGGCAGCAGUAGGGAAUCUUCCGCAAUGGACGAAAGUCUGACGGAGCAACGCCGCGUGAGUGAUGAAGGUUUUCGGAUCGUAAAGCUCUGUUGUUAGGGAAGAACAAGUACCGUUCGAAUAGGGCGGUACCUUGACGGUACCUAACCAGAAAGCCACGGCUAACUACGUGCCAGCAGCCGCGGUAAUACGUAGGUGGCAAGCGUUGUCCGGAAUUAUUGGGCGUAAAGGGCUCGCAGGCGGUUUCUUAAGUCUGAUGUGAAAGCCCCCGGCUCAACCGGGGAGGGUCAUUGGAAACUGGGGAACUUGAGUGCAGAAGAGGAGAGUGGAAUUCCACGUGUAGCGGUGAAAUGCGUAGAGAUGUGGAGGAACACCAGUGGCGAAGGCGACUCUCUGGUCUGUAACUGACGCUGAGGAGCGAAAGCGUGGGGAGCGAACAGGAUUAGAUACCCUGGUAGUCCACGCCGUAAACGACUCUAAGUGUUAGGGGGUUUCCGCCCC
rnacentral:rRNA from 2 species